AAGUCGUAACAAGGUUUCCGUAGGUGAACCUGCGGAAGGAUCAUUUCUGUUGCUGAGGGUGCACCCACUCACCUGGGUUGCCUCCUCACAUUGGAUCACUCCCUGUGCACUGUUUUUUUUUUUUGAGUGAUUGGGUUUCUUUUUUGUUGUUCGGUGUCUUUUAGCACCGAGGAACGGGAAACCCAGGACAUCAUGAACCUGACCUUAUUUUGACUGAUCAAGUUGAUAACAAAGAGCGAUUGCUUUUUAAAAACAACUUUCAGCAACGGAUCUCUUGGUUCUC
rnacentral:misc_RNA from 1 species